rnacentral:lncRNA from 12 species
AGGCAAAUGGUUACUAUCCAUAAUAUUAAAAGAAUUUGUACAAAUUAAGAAAAAUUUAAACUCCUAUAGAAAAAAAUGGGCAAAAAGACAUAAACAGGUAAUUAAAAUACCAAUGGUCAGUAAGUAUAUGAAAAAAAUGUUCAACUUCACUAAUAUAAAAAGAGGAAAAUUAAAACAGUAUUGAGAUGACUUUUACCUAUCAGCUUGGCAAAGAUUUUUUUUAAUUUCUCAAACUCACACAUUGACAAGGUUUGAAGAGACAUGAACUUCCUGCUUUUUCUGUGGACAUGCAAAAUGUACCUGUUUUCCAGAGGGUAAUCUGACAAGAAAUAAUAAAACAUAAGAUAUAUAUACUCUUUGGUGACAAUUCUACUUGUAGACCUUUACUCCAAGGAAAUAAUUACACAAAUAUGAAAAGAUGUAUUCACACUUUGUUUAUAGUUUUGAGAAAUAGGAAAUAAUCUAAGUGUCCCUCAGUAAGAGCUGGCUAGGUAAUUAUGGUACAGCAUCCACAGAAUACUAUACAGCCCUUUAAAAGAAUGAUAUAAAUUUAUAUCAAUACAGAAAGAUGGCUUUGGUUAUUGAUUCUUUGAAGCCUCACCAUUUACUUGAAUCAACCACUUCCUGUCCUCACCAGCAGAGUUUCCACAAUUCUAAUUCUUCUCUUAUUAAUCACAGGUUUGGCACCUGGCAUAUAGUCUUCCAAACGACUAUCGUCCAAGUUGACUUAAAUGUCCAUGUCAACAAAUCAUCCCAUUUCCAGUCUUAGGAAUUCUCAAAUUCCUCAUCUACAAUAAAAUACAGUCAAUUAAUACUCUAUAGUCAUCUAAUAUCAUGGUUGCAACUCUAUGUCUAAAUUUACUAAAACAGGUAUUUCCCACCCUUUGUAGUUUAUUUAGAUUUUAUUUAUUUCUGGGGAUCCCUGGGUGGCUCAGCAGUUUGGCACCUGCCUUUGGCCCAGGGCGCGAUCCUGGAGUCCGGAAUGGAGUCCCGCGUCGGGCUCCCGGCAUGGAGCCUGCUUUUCCCUCUGCCUGUGUCUCUGCCUGUCUCUCUCUCUCUCUAUCAUGAAUAAAUAAAUAUAAAUAAAUAAAAUAAAAUAAAUCUUUAAAAGAUUUAU